rnacentral:rRNA from 1 species
UACGAAGGGGGCUAGCGUUGCUCGGAAUUACUGGGCGUAAAGGGCGCGUAGGCGGACAGUUUAGUCGGGGGUGAAAGCCCGGGGCUCAACCUCGGAAUUGCCUUCGAUACUGGCUGUCUUGAGUACGGGAGAGGUGUGUGGAACUGCGAGUGUAGAGGUGAAAUUCGUAGAUAUUCGGAAGAACACCAGUGGCGAAGGCGACACACUGGCCCGUUACUGACGCUGAGGCGCGAAAGCGUGGGGAGCAAACAGG